rfam:Xanthomonas oryzae pv. oryzae KACC10331, complete genome.
AUGUACCACGCGUACACUCCGCUUCUGAGCGCGCCGUCCGCGCCCACCCGGCAGCCCUCGCGACGUUGUGUUAGCC